UAAUACGGAGGGUGCAAGCGUUAAUCGGAAUUACUGGGCGUAAAGCGCGCGUAGGCGGUUUGGUCAGUUGGAUGUGAAAGCCCAGGGCUCAACCUUGGAACUGCAUUCAAUACUGCCAGGCUAGAGUACGGUAGAGGGAGGUAGAAUUCCACGUGUAGCGGUGAAAUGCGUAGAGAUGUGGAGGAAUACCAGUGGCGAAGGCGGCCUCCUGGAUCGAUACUGACGCUGGGGUGCGAAAGCGUGGGGAGCAAACAGGAUUAGAUACCCUGGUAGUCCACGCUGUAAACGAUGUCAACUAGCCGUUGGAAGGGUAAUCCUUUUAGUGGCGCAGCUAACGCUUUAAGUUGACCGCCUGGGGAGUACGGUCGCAAGAUUA
rnacentral:rRNA from 1 species